AUACGUAGGUGGCAAGCGUUGUCCGGAAUUAUUGGGCGUAAAGCGCGCGCAGGUGGUUCCUUAAGUCUGAUGUGAAAGCCCCCGGCUCAACCGGGGAGGGUCAUUGGAAACUGGGGAACUUGAGUGCAGAAGAGGAUAGUGGAAUUCCAAGUGUAGCGGUGAAAUGCGUAGAGAUUUGGAGGAACACCAGUGGCGAAGGCGACUGUCUGGUCUGUAACUGACACUGAGGCGCGAAAGCGUGGGGAGCAAACAGGAUUAGAUACCCUGGUAGUCCACGCCGCAAACGAUGAGUGCUAAGUGUUGGGGGGUUUCCGCCCCUCAGUGCUGCAGCUAACGCAUUAAGCACUCCGCCUGGGGAGUACGGUCGCAAGACUGAAACUCAAAUGAAUUGACGGGG
rnacentral:rRNA from 1 species